AGUUAGAUGUAAAAUUUAAAAAUAGUUUAUUAAAAAUAAAAGGUAAAAUUGGAUUGUUAUUUAUAUAAAAAAAUAAAAAGUUAUCGAAGCUAAUAAAGUUUGGUUAAAAACUAGGAUUAGAUACCCUAUUAUUCCAAAAAUAAAUCUUUAAAGUCUAAAUUAGUAAUAGAUAUAAUCUUGAAAAUUAAAAAAUUUGGCGGUGAUUUAAUCUUUUUAGAGGAAUUUGUUUCUUAAUCGAUAAUCCACGUAAAAUCUUACUUGUUUUUGUUUUCAGUUUGUAUACCAUCAUUAUCAGGUAAUUCUUAGAGGAAUAAUUACUGAAUAUAAUUGUUUAUAAAAAUUAGAUCAUGGUGCAGCUUAUAAACAAGUUGAAAUGAAUUACAAUAAAUUAUUUUAAAAUGAAUUAAUAAAAUAAAUUUUAUUAUGAAGGAGGAUUUAAUUGUAUUAUAAGUUUAAUAAGCUUAUAAGAAAUAAGCUCUAAAUCAUGUACAUAUCGCCCGUCGCUUUCACCUAUAAGU
rnacentral:rRNA from 1 species